rnacentral:tRNA from 1 species
AAUGAAUUGCCUGAUAAAAGGAUUACCUUGAUAGGGUAAAUUAUGCAGUCGCCUGCAUUCAUUA